AAUAGAUACCCAGGUAGUCCACGCCGUAAACGAUGAGUGCUAAGUGUUGGGGGGUUUCCGCCCCUCAGUGCUGCAACUAACGCAUUAAGCACUCCGCCUGGGGAGUACGGUCGCAAGACUGAAACUCAAAGGAAUUGACGGGGGCCCGCACAAGCGGUGGAGCAUGUGGUUUAAUUCGAAGCAACGCGAAGAACCUUACCAGGUCUUGACAUCCCGGUGACCACUAUGGAGACAUAGUUUCCCCUUCGGGGGCAACGGUGACAGGUGGUGCAUGGUUGUCGUCAGCUCGUGUCGUGAGAUGUUGGGUUAAGUCCCGCAACGAGCGCAACCCUUAUUCUUAGUUGCCAUCGUUCAGUUGGGCACUCUAAGGAGACUGCCGGUGAUAAACCGGAGGAAGGUGGGGAUGACGUCAAAUCAUCAUGCCCCUUAUGACCUGGGCUACACACGUGCUACAAUGGACGGUACAAACGGUUGCCAACCCGCGAGGGGGAGCUAAUCCGAUAAAACCGUUCUCAGUUCGGAUUGUAGGCUGCAACUCGCCUACA
rnacentral:rRNA from 1 species